rnacentral:rRNA from 1 species
AUUGAACGCUGGCGGCAUGCUUUACACAUGCAAGUCGAACGGUAACGCGGGGCAACCUGGCGACGAGUGGCGAACGGGUGAGUAAUGCAUCGGAACGUGCCCAGUAGUGGGGGAUAGCCCGGCGAAAGCCGGAUUAAUACCGCAUACGACCUACGGGUGAAAGCGGGGGACCGUAAGGCCUCGCGCUAUUGGAGCGGCCGAUGUCAGAUUAGGUAGUUGGUGGGGUAAAGGCCUACCAAGCCUACGAUCUGUAGCUGGUCUGAGAGGACGAUCCGCCACACUGGGACUGAGACACGGCCCAGACUCCUACGGGAGGCAGCAGUGGGGAAUUUUGGACAAUGGGCGCAAGCCUGAUCCAGCCAUGCCGCGUGAGUGAAGAAGGCCUCGGUUGUAAGACUCUUCGUCAAGGGAAGAAAACGGACGAAGGUUAAGUAACCUUUA